GGAAGGGCGGGGCCGGGUAGUCCUGGGCCGCAGUGCGCCGGCGCAGUGCGCUCUCCUCGGGGCGGCGGAGGCGACGCGCCGGGGAAGAUGGAAGACUACCAGACUGCGGAAGAGACCACUUUUGUUGUUGACGAAGUGAGCAACAUUGUGAAAGAGGCUAUAGAAAGUGCCAUCGGCGGCAACGCCUAUCAGCACAGCAAAGUCAACCAGUGGACCACAAAUGUCGUAGAACAAACUUUAAGCCAACUCACCAAGCUGGGAAAACCAUUCAAAUACAUUGUGACCUGUAUAAUUAUGCAGAAGAACGGAGCAGGACUACACACGGCGAGUUCUUGCUUCUGGGACAGCUCUACUGACGGUACGGUUCUCAGUCUCUGGGUCAGAGUCUGUCGUGGGCAUUUUCCUGAGGCGGUGGUGUCUUCUUGGACCUGCUGAGAUCUAGACUGUCCAAAGCCGAGUUUCCUGAACUGUGUGCGUGGGUGUUCCUGUCUCUGAAUGCAUGCUUAUUAGAGUUACCUUUAAAGCAUUUUAUAGAAAAGAGACUUGCCAGCCUUUAUGUAUGUACCACAAAGAGGGAGCUGCACCGUGCGAUGGGAGAAUAAGACCAUGUACUGCAUCGUCAGCGCCUUCGGACUGUCCAUCUGACUGACCACCUCAUCCCCCCAGGCUCUUUCUCCUCUGUCUCAACAUUUCUCUCCGAUCUUCUAGCCACCAGCCAUGAAUUCAGUGAACAGCUUUCCCGCCCUUUGUUUUCUGUGGCACUCUCAACAUGCAGAGAAAAACCCAAGUGACCGCACUGUCCUGUGAUCAGCACACCCUCAAUCACGGAUCGUUCUUGGGCAGUCGGAACCUGGACUGCCACGUGUCCGCACUCUGAAUAUCUCUGUUCAAAGGUGCUAAACACUCAACCUGCUAGUGUGAACCUUUCUCUACUCUCUGAAAUCAUUCAAACACACUAAUUUUUCCAUACUUUGUACUUUUGUUAGAAUAAAUUAUUCCAAUUUAAA